rnacentral:rRNA from 1 species
UACGUAGGGGGCGAGCGUUGUCCGGAAUCAUUGGGCGUAAAGCGCGUGUAGGCGGCUCGAUAAGUCUGCUGUGAAAGUCCAAGGCUCAACCUUGGGAUGCCGGUGGAUACUGUCGAGCUCGAGUCCGGAAGAGGAGUGUGGAAUUCCUGGUGUAGCGGUGAAAUGCGCAGAUAUCAGGAGGAACACCAAUGGCGAAGGCAGCACUCUGGGACGUGACUGACGCUGAGACGCGAAAGCGUGGGGAGCAAACAGG